GUAGCAAUGGGCUUGUGAUGGGAUGGAUUGCCCACAUUAGCCCUGCAAGAGCUGAAUUAGGCCAGGUGGGCCUAAUCAGCUCAUUAGGCUGCAAGCAGGGGGUUCCUUAGGCUAGGUGGAGGCAACUGAUUGGGAACAGGGUCAUCUGUGCAGGAAAAAGCAGGGCCUGUAUAAAGUCAGGUAGCUGGCUGUAGAAAGGAGGUUAUUACUAUAAAAGGCUGUAGAUACUUCCUGUAUGGAGGAAGUUACCUACUGAUAAACCCAGUGGGAGGGAGGAACUAGGUAUGCAGGAAGAAGUCCAGUAGCAAGCAGUAGGAGAGUAGAGGGACCAUGACUCCUUAGUAUAGAGUCCCUGGGUUGGAACCCAGUGUAGACGGUAGACCUGGGUUUCCCUAGUGGCCACUAGGAAAUGGCAAGGACAAUGGAGGUGCCAGCCAGAUAACAUUUCUGGAAAGACUGAAUUUCCUGAAAGGAGAGGACUUUAGUAACUUAGCCAGAGGGCCAACCUAAAAAAAAGAAGAAGCUGCAGACCUAGCAGUGAGUAGGGCAGCAGAGUGAGACAAGAUGGGAGAAGAAAAUACCACAGAGAGAGUGCAAGCUGGCAGGGCUAAUUCCAAGUGGCGAGAAGGAGGUGCUGCUUAGACCAUGUGAUAUGUGGUGGAGAAUGGGCAAAUGAUCACCCCUGACAUGAGGGGAGGUCAAGAGACACUGGAAACGCUUUUAAGGCAGUGACCCUGAUACAAGGGGAAUAGGAAAGACUAUAGGUGUGUUACAGAUGUGGGGGAUGAAGACACCUGAAAAGGGAGUGCCCCUACUUUGGAUGGGGGGGAAGGAUGGGGAAGAGAAGCUUUAUUUGGAUAGGUGAAAAUAAAGAGAGCCCUAAAGAAUCCAUCCUUGGGGGAGAGCAGGAAAAGGAGGGGUGUGUUUUGCUUGUGGUCAGCAGGGGCACCUAUGGAAGAGAUGCCUGUAUAUGAGCUGUGAGGGGAAGAUUAGCCCAGGGGAAGAGUUUGCUUUAGGUGCUUGGAGGUUGCCUAUAUAAAAAGGCAUUACCAUCUUAAGAGAGGGCCUAGUAGCAAAGGGGAAGGCAAGGAUCCCAAUGACACAGGAAAAAGGGGCUCAAAGAUAAAUUGAUUAGGACGGAGAGGGCUCAGCUGGAAAUAGGUAUGACUACAGAGCUGAAGCAGGCUACUGUAGGGACCCAAACACUGGCAGAAAAGUGUAAAGAUGUGAUGGAGGAACAGGACAGACUGUGGCUCGUGGUCAGGGACCUAAGACAGAAAAGGGAUGACUUGAGUAUCCAGGUGUGGCAGGUGCAGGUAGAUAAUUUAGAGAAUACCUGCCCACCUCAGGUUGGGGUCUUGAAGGUGUGUGAUGGGAUGCACUCCCUAUACUAGCCCUGCAAGAACUUAAUUGGGCCAGGUGGGCCCAAUCAUCUAAAUUGACUGCAAGCAGGGGAAACUUAGGGUAUGAGAAGGCCACUGAUUGGGAACAGGGUCACCUGUGCAGGAACAAGCAGAGUCUGUAUAAAGCUAGGCAGCUAGCUACAGAAAGGGGAAUUUUGUUGCUGGGAAAGGCUGUAGGGAAGGAAGCUGAAGUCAAGCCCUUAAGUCGCGGGGGAGCUGGAGGCUAGCAAACCUGGGGAAAGCCAGAUGUGUAGGAAGAAGCCCUGGGAAACAGCAGCAAGAGGUGGGACUGUGGCUGCUUGUUAUAGGGUCCCUGGCCUGGAACCAGUGUAGAGGGUAGGCCUGGAUUCCCCUACCAGCCACUGGGAAGUGACGUGGACAGUGGAGGUGCUAGCCAGCCGGUCUGGAAAGACUAAAUUCCCUGCAAGGAGAGGACUUUGGUCCAGAGGACCAAGCCACAGAGAGGAAGCUGCAGACCUGGAAGUGAGUAUGGCAGUAGAGCAAGACAACAUUGGAGGGAGAGCACCAACCAGAGGCUGAAGGAGAGGCAGCUAGUGGAGCUUGACUUUUUUUGUCUCUCUGACUUGCCUGAAAAUAUCUGCAGCCAUACAGCAUACAGAUUUGGGCUGACCCAUUCAGAAGAGAGGUUAAUCAGCCAAAAGCAAACACACACUGGAAUCUGCUGUUUUAUACAAGGCACAGUUUGGGGAAGGAGGAAAGCUUGUAUAUAGGAAUGCAACUUCCUGACUUACACACCACAGCUCUCAAUGUCGUAUCUGUUGGAACCAUAGAAGUUGUUGUUGCCCUCGGGUUGGAUUUAAAUCUAUGUCUUGGGAGAAUUAACCAGCUACAAAAGCUGUUUUGGUUUAACAGAGUCUUAUAAUAAUGAAGUGAACAUAGAAAUAAGACUGGGAACCUGGACUGAUCCUUUUACAAUAAAAUUCAAAGGGACUCUUGACAAGUGGAGAUGAGGAAGCAGGACAGAUGUUCAAAAAUCAGAAUUGCCCUGAACUUUUUAGAUGAGGAGACAAACCUGUGUCCACACUACAGAGCAACUGUAAGCCAAGCCAGUAUGCAUGUGACAGAGGAAAAAAUGGUGUUGGUAAGAAAAACGAUGGUUUCUCUGAUUGCCAGUCCCACAAACCAAUUGAAGGCUAAUGGGGUAACUGAGGGCAAAAUCUGACCUGCAUCUCUUUCAGAACUAGUGUAAAUGCAUGAGAAGGACUGAGCUUCUAUUGAUUUUUGAAGCAGAGGGUGAAGUUGCAGAGCUAACAGUUUGGGGAAAAAUCAUUCUUGAAAAUUUGACAUAGAUGUUACUGAGAAAAGAUAAACAUGGGAUAUGCUCAUCCCAUGCUAUUUGUAUGCAGUCACUUCUCUGAGUAAAACAGACAUGAAGUUUUUUAUUAAUUAUUUCUGUUCUCUUCCAGUUCCACACCUUUCUGGUUUGUACCACACUUGCUCCGAGUACACAGACUUGUUUAUACAACUUACAAAACAUUAAGCAUGUGUAGAGUACAAGUCAUGCAUGAAAGGACUCUAAAUGUCUCCUGAUGCUUACUACUAAUUUUAGAGACUGUCGUCUGCAUAUUUUCAAGUUGCCUUUUAGAUAAUUAUAUUUAUAAUCUGAAACAAGCAACCUGUUCCUCAUAAUAAUAAGCAAGUUAACCAUAUUAUAGAAAAGUGUAAUUGCAGCACAUUUUGAAACCUUUGCAGAAUAUGUUCAUAAGGGCAUGGCAAAUAAUAUGUAAAAUAUAAUUAUCUGGUUACAUAAGGAUAGUCUUUGGACAUAGUCCUCUUAACACAAACAUCUUAAAUAGAGAACACUUCCGGUUUGAUA